GGGCGGAUGGCAUGACGAGUCAGAGGGUGAUGCCUGCGGCGGGGAUGCACUGAGAAUAGAGAGGGCAGGUGCGGGGCUGGAGACACACUCCCGAGAGGGAGAUGGGAGAGAGGGCACCUCGUGGAUCCCGAGGAAGGCUGAAGACAGGAGAAGGGAGGGGUCGCACAUGUUAAACGCUGCCGAAAGGCCAGGAGAGAUUAAGACAGAAAUGAAUCACUGGAUUCGGCCAGGCUGCGGUUAUUGACAACAGUGGGAAGAGCAGUGAGCCUCACAGGGUCAGGGGGAAGACAGGGGAUCCCGAAGAUAACGUCUGCUACGAACUCAAUUGCAUCCGCCCCGGGCCCUACGUGGAAGCCCUAAUCCCCACGGUGACUGCAUUUGGAGAAGGACCUUCAGCACAUGAUGGAGGCGGCCCCGGAGAGGGUCAGCGAGGGGCCUCCACUGUCUGAGUCCGCUCCUGGCAACGCCUGCUCUCUGCACUCAGAGGCCCGGUCCCGGCAGCUGCCACGUUGCUCAGAAGUUCUGGCAGGGGGAGCCUGAAACCCCUGUCUGCUGGCGACACUCCCGGAGCGGCAGGAAAUCUCUACAUUUUAUUUUUUUUCUUAACAGACAAAAGUAUUUGACUCCAGAAUGAUUUCCAGGAAUUACAGUAUGAGAACUUAGUCUUUGAGAUUUUUAUUUUCUUCUUAAAAAAAUAAAAAUGAAAUCAAAGCAGAAGACACUGGUUGAGCAGACAGCACACUAGCACAUUCCACUUCGCAACAAAACCUGCGUGUUUUCUGCCCGGUCUACCUCAGACAGGGACG